GACGUAGGGCGCGAGCGUUGUCCGGAUUUAUUGGGCGUAAAGAGCGUGUAGGCGGUUUGGUAGGUCCGCUGUGAAAACUCGAGGCUCAACCUCGAGACGCCGGUUGAAACCAUCAGGCUAGAGUCCGGAAGAGGCGAGUGGAACUCCUGGUGUAGCGGUGGAAUGCGCAGAUAUCAGGAAGAACACCAACGGCGAAGGCAGCUCGCUAGGACGGUACUGACGCUGAGACGCGAAAGCGUGGGGAGCGAACAGG
rnacentral:rRNA from 1 species